AGAGUUUGAUCCUGGCUCAGGAUGAACGCUGGCGGCGUGCUUAACACAUGCAAGUCGAACGAUGACUUUUGUGCUUGCACAAAAUGAUUAGUGGCGAACGGGUGAGUAACACGUGAGUAACCUGCCCUUAACUUCGGGAUAAGCCUGGGAAACCGGGUCUAAUACCGGAUACGACGGAUCCCCGCAUGGGGGUCCGUGGAAAGCUUGAUGCGGUUUUGGAUGGACUCGCGGCCUAUCAGCUAGUUGGUUGGGGUAAUGGCCCACCAAGGCGACGACGGGUAGCCGGCCUGAGAGGGUGACCGGCCACACUGGGACUGAGACACGGCCCAGACUCCUACGGGAGGCAGCAGUGGGGAAUAUUGCACAAUGGGCGAAAGCCUGAUGCAGCGACGCCGCGUGAGGGACGAAGGCCUUCGGGUUGUAAACCUCUUUCAGCAGGGAAGAAGCGAAAGUGACGGUACCUGCAGAAGAAGCGCCGGCUAACUACGUGCCAGCAGCCGCGGUAAUACGUAGGGCGCAAGCGUUAUCCGGAAUUAUUGGGCGUAAAGAGCUCGUAGGCGGUUUGUCGCGUCUGCUGUGAAAGCCCGGGGCUCAACCCCGGGUCUGCAGUGGGUACGGGCAGACUAGAGUGCAGUAGGGGAGACUGGAAUUCCUGGUGUAGCGGUGAAAUGCGCAGAUAUUAGGAGGAACACCAGUGGCGAAGGCGGCCUGCUGGACGACAACUGACGCUGAGGCGCGAAAGCGUGGGGAGCAAACAGGAUUAGAUACCCUGGUAGUCCACGCUGUAAACGAUGAAUACUAGGUGUGGGAGGACUGACCCCUUCCGUGCCGCAGUUAACACAAUAAGUAUUCCACCUGGGGAGUACGACCGCAAGGUUGAAACUCAAAGGAAUUGACGGGGGCCCGCACAAGCAGUGGAUUAUGUGGUUUAAUUCGACGCAACGCGAAGAACCUUACCAGGAUUUGACAUCCCACUAACGAAGUAGAGAUACAUUAGGUGCCCUUCGGGGAAAGUGGAGACAGGUGGUGCAUGGUUGUCGUCAGCUCGUGUCGUGAGAUGUUGGGUUAAGUCCCGCAACGAGCGCAACCCCUAUUGUUAGUUGCUACGCAAGAGCACUCUAGCGAGACUGCCGUUGACAAAACGGAGGAAGGCGGGGACGACGUCAAAUCAUCAUGCCCCUUAUGUCCUGGGCUACACACGUAAUACAAUGGUGGCCAACAAAGCGAAGCAAGACCGCGAGGUGGAGCAAAUCGCAAAAAGCCAUCCCAGUUCGGAUUGCAGGCUGCAACUCGCCUGCAUGAAGUUGGAAUUGCUAGUAAUCGUGGAUCAGCAUGCCACGGUGAAUACGUUCCCGGGCCUUGCACUCACCGCCCGUCA
rnacentral:rRNA from 1 species